GUCAGUGUGAGAGUACGUUUCUCGGCCCGCUCUCGCCGCCUCUGUUGUCGCGUCCCUGAACGCCCAGGGAGAGAAAACGGCGAUUUCUUCUUAUCUCUUCAUUCGCUUUCGUGGAGGGGAAGUUUAAACCAAACAAGUGAGGAAAAGAGAGAAAGGAAAGAAGAAAGGAAGGAAUAAAUUAACAAACAGCUUCCCAGAAUUAUAAAAAAACGACAUAAAAAGAAAGACAGAAUUAUGAGUUGAUAUUGUUUGGAUGGCCGAACGAACGAUACAACGAACCUAAAUACAUUAAUGCCAAAAUAUUUGUAAAUAUUUGUGUAAAUAUAUAUAAACAAUAGAAACGCAUACCAUAUUAUAUAUAUAAUAAUAUCUAUCAACAAAAACACCUCUAAAAUGCUAGUAACAGGAAUGAUGGAAGCAGACAGAAACAUUUUGCGCUCGUAUCCCCAAGGCCACCAGAAGAACCAGGAAACAGACAGAAGAAAAUAUAAAUCUCACGCAAGCAGCAGACACUUGUCUAUGCGAACGGUCGUGUCUGCCGUCUGCCUGUGCUUCCUUGCGUGGCUGACAACCGUAGAAGGCUGCCGAACAGCCACUAAGCGCUUCGUCGGAUCCCCCUUGGAACCUUUGCUGCAUUUCUACCUCCCACCCGUUCCUCCCUUCACCCCCACCGUCCUCCCCCCCGUCAGGCUACGG